GGUCAAGUGAAGAAGCGCAUACGGUGGAUGCCUUGGCAGUCAGAGGCGAUGAAAGACGUGGUAGCCUGCGAAAAGCUUCGGGGAGUCGGCAAACAGACUUUGAUCCGGAGAUCUCUGAAUGGGGGAACCCACCUAGGAUAACCUAGGUAUCUUGUACUGAAUCCAUAGGUGCAAGAGGCGAACCAGGGGAACUGAAACAUCUAAGUACCCUGAGGAAAAGAAAUCAACCGAGAUUCCCUUAGUAGUGGCGAGCGAACGGGGAUUAGCCCUUAAGCUUCAUUGAUUUUAGCGGAACGCUCUGGAAAGUGCGGCCAUAGUGGGUGAUAGCCCCGUACGCGAAAGGAUCUUUGAAGUGAAAUCGAGUAGGACGGAGCACGAGAAACUUUGUCUGAACAUGGGGGGACCAUCCUCCAAGGCUAAAUACUACUGACUGACCGAUAGUGAACCAGUACCGUGAGGGAAAGGCGAAAAGAACCCCGGAGAGGGGAGUGAAAUAGAACCUGAAACCGUAUGCGUACAAGCAGUGGGAGCCUACUUGUUAGGUGACUGCGUACCUUUUGUAUAAUGGGUCAGCGACUUAUAUUCAGUGGCAAGCUUAACCGUAUAGGGUAGGCGUAGCGAAAGCGAGUCUUAAUAGGGCGUUUAGUCGCUGGGUAUAGACCCGAAACCGGGCGAUCUAUCCAUGAGCAGGUUGAAGGUUAGGUAACACUGACUGGAGGACCGAACCCACUCCCGUUGAAAAGGUAGGGGAUGACUUGUGGAUCGGAGUGAAAGGCUAAUCAAGCUCGGAGAUAGCUGGUUCUCCUCGAAAGCUAUUUAGGUAGCGCCUCAUGUAUCACUCUGGGGGGUAGAGCACUGUUUCGGCUAGGGGGUCAUCCCGACUUACCAAACCGAUGCAAACUCCGAAUACCCAGAAGUGCCGAGCAUGGGAGACACACGGCGGGUGCUAACGUCCGUCGUGAAAAGGGAAACAACCCAGACCGCCAGCUAAGGUCCCAAAGUUGUGGUUAAGUGGUAAACGAUGUGGGAAGGCUUAGACAGCUAGGAGGUUGGCUUAGAAGCAGCCAUCCUUUAAAGAAAGCGUAAUAGCUCACUAGUCGAGUCGGCCUGCGCGGAAGAUGUAACGGGGCUCAAACCACACACCGAAGCUGCGGGUGUCACGUAAGUGACGCGGUAGAGGAGCGUUCUGUAAGCCUGUGAAGGUGAGUUGAGAAGCUUGCUGGAGGUAUCAGAAGUGCGAAUGCUGACAUGAGUAACGACAAUGGGUGUGAAAAACACCCACGCCGAAAGACCAAGGGUUCCUGCGCAACGUUAAUCGACGCAGGGUUAGUCGGUUCCUAAGGCGAGGCUGAAAAGCGUAGUCGAUGGGAAACAGGUUAAUAUUCCUGUACUUCUGGUUACUGCGAUGGAGGGACGGAGAAGGCUAGGCCAGCUUGGCGUUGGUUGUCCAAGUUUAAGGUGGUAGGCUGAAAUCUUAGGUAAAUCCGGGGUUUCAAGGCCGAGAGCUGAUGACGAGUCGUCUUUUAGAUGACGAAGUGGUUGAUGCCAUGCUUCCAAGAAAAGCUUCUAAGCUUCAGGUAACCAGGAACCGUACCCCAAACCGACACAGGUGGUCGGGUAGAGAAUACCAAGGCGCUUGAGAGAACUCGGGUGAAGGAACUAGGCAAAAUGGCACCGUAACUUCGGGAGAAGGUGCGCCGGCUAGGGUGAAGGAUUUACUCCGUAAGCUCUGGCUGGUCGAAGAUACCAGGCCGCUGCGACUGUUUAUUAAAAACACAGCACUCUGCAAACACGAAAGUGGACGUAUAGGGUGUGACGCCUGCCCGGUGCCGGAAGGUUAAUUGAUGGGGUUAGCGCAAGCGAAGCUCUUGAUCGAAGCCCCGGUAAACGGCGGCCGUAACUAUAACGGUCCUAAGGUAGCGAAAUUCCUUGUCGGGUAAGUUCCGACCUGCACGAAUGGCGUAACGAUGGCGGCGCUGUCUCCACCCGAGACUCAGUGAAAUUGAAAUCGCUGUGAAGAUGCAGUGUAUCCGCGGCUAGACGGAAAGACCCCGUGAACCUUUACUGUAGCUUUGCACUGGACUUUGAGCCUGCUUGUGUAGGAUAGGUGGGAGGCUUUGAAGCGUGGACGCCAGUUCGCGUGGAGCCAUCCUUGAAAUACCACCCUGGCAUGCUU
rnacentral:rRNA from 1 species